rnacentral:rRNA from 1 species
UACAGAGGUCUCAAGCGUUGUUCGGAUUCAUUGGGCGUAAAGGGUGCGUAGGUGGCGAUGUAAGUCUGGUGUGAAAUCUCGGGGCUCAACCCCGAAAUGGCAUUGGAUACUGCGUCGCUCGAGGACUGUAGAGGAGAGAGGAAUUCACGGUGUAGCAGUGAAAUGCGUAGAUAUCGUGAGGAAGACCAGUUGCGAAGGCGUCUCUCUGGGCAGUUCCUGACACUGAGGCACGAAGGCCAGGGGAGCAAAC